CCAUGAAGUAACGCAAGCACCGCACGUUUUGUAUGUCUCCCUAUAUCUGACACAACCACUUCAGGUCUUGCAGUCUCCACUAAUGAGCAGAUGAGUGGAAUCAGGUGUGAUACUUGAGGGAGACAUACAGCAUGUGCAGGGCUGGGGGUACUCCAGGACAGGAUUUACACAAGCUCCAGUCUGGAUCCAUAACACCUGAGAAGAGAUGAUGCCAAUCCAUCAGACGACAUCAGAUGAUGCUAACCCUGAAACAACAUACAGAAGUACCAAAUUUUGCUCAACAACUGGGGUCUCUAAUGCUCAUGGCACAGCAGACUGUGAAGGCUCGACUGCAAAGGGAAGCAUCAGGUUGACCACUGCGAUUCUUUGGAGGACAGAUACCAGGAAGUGGUGCAUCAUCAGUGAGAUGAAUCCUUUUACAUAUGGAGGACUGACCUGCCCUGCUAAUCACUCAUUUUGCUUGAAAGUGACAGAGGACUUUUCUAUGGGCCAGAUCAACAUCCUUGGAAGGACGCCACAGGACGCAGAGGUCUCCCAAUGGUGGGACGACACCUUCUAUGAACACGGGACACAAACAUUGGUCAAGAUGAUGGACUUAGUACAGAAAGUCAUCCUUCAAACUGAAUACCACCUCUCUCAAGUGCAAGUGGAGACAAACUUGUUGCGAAAGACUGCACAGAUUCUGUCUAGCUCAUCUACUCGAUCGACUCAGACUGGAUACACUUGGUGGGACUGGAUGCUUCGAGGAUGUGCUAUUGGAAGCACACUCAUCUUCUCCUUCACGCUCUUCCAAUGUUGCUAUUUCAGACACCUCAUCGGAUCGAUAAAGUCGUCCACCAACGCUAUCCUGACUCUCAGUCCCCUACAACUACCCACCUUGCAAAGACUGAAGUGACACCGCCAGAACCUUUGUGAAUGGCCAAUGGUGCCAAAGGGGGAAAAACUGUAAGGCUGGUGUCAGAAAGACCAUUUCAGGAACUUGGAACUAAAGUUCAAUACAUGUUUCCUAGAGGGACGUUUAUUACUGUUACCUGCAAAUGAAGACCAGCUAUCUGUCUGUGUUUAUGCUGCUGCUAUGUUUUCUGUAAUGUGUUCAUAUAAUACAAAACACAUCUAAUUUCAUACCAGAGGCAUAUGCAGAUGCAUAUGGAGUAAAAUAAAUGUCUCAAUCUAAAGACUUCUCCUGCUCUCCUGAUUCUCUGACCGGAAUCUGGUCCAUACUUGGCCGCCUCAACCAGUUGUAAUUCAAAUGUAGUAAGGUUUACUACAUUAGUUUGGUCCUUCGAGCCGGAUUAAGAGCAACAUCAAACCAGUAUGGACCCAACAGUAAGUGACACAGAGACAAUGGAAAGACCUCGCCGCAGGACAAAUCUUCCGCCUCACCUGGAUGAUUAUGAGGUUGGCUACCGGCCCGCAGAGGACCAUCCUCCUAAAGUUUCUACCCCCUGUCCCAGUCAACGUAGAAGCAGCUCGAGGAAAACGUCCCACAGCAGUACCAGCUCUCAUUCCAGGACCAGUAGGCAUUCCAUUACCUCCACUGGCGUUUAUCUUCCACCAGAACUCUCUAAUGUCCAGACUGCUGUUUUGGAGGAGAAGAUAAAGCAGAGACAGUUUGACAGUCUCCGGCAGCAGGUACAGGAGGACUCACUCGCUGACAUGGAAUAUCAGCGGCUGCAGACACAAGCAAAGAAGCUCAGUGCAUUCAGGAAGAGGCUCUCGCAGCUAAGGAGGCUUUGUCCAAGCAUCUAGAGAGACAGCGCAAGCUGCAACAAGCAGAGACCGAACUCGAGGUAGCAAACCUUGUAUCUACCAUGCUUAUUAAAGACUCUUGUUCAGCCACUCCUAUGCAUCCAGGCUCACCAGCCAGCCCUUUGCCUCCACCUCAAACCAAUCAGAGUAGUCCAGCCAUGAGUCCACAGUCUCACUUGUUGUCUCAGCAGCCCUUUACUCAGUCACCAGCCGUGACAUCAUCUGUACAGCCUUCCUCAGGUGAUCAGAUAAUGCUGGAAGACACAUCACAGCUGUCACUCAGGCCACAGGCUGACAUUACCUACCACUGAAUCCGUGAGUGUUUUUUUCCCUAAAGCACUCCAUUUGCCACAAGCAGUUUCGUCACCAGUCUCUACAGUAUCUCAGGCUGCCGCUAUAACUGCGCCAUUACACACAGUGAUGUCAGCAUCAUAUGUGGUACCUCAGCCCUCCUCAUUAGCCACAGUUAAGUCCACUGCUGCGCACUCCAUGAAUAUGAGCAUGCCGUCUGUGCCACAGCUGUCUACAAGUCCAUAUGUGAUACGUCAAUCAUUGAACCCUCCAGUGAGCACACAUGCAUAUCAUCUGCAACCUCCAGUUACUAGCCAGCAGGCAUCAGCUAUGCCACCUAAUGCUAGCUUUGCUCAGCCACCCUCAUUCCUGCACCUUCCCCACACACAUUCUGCAUACCCUGGUACAGAGCUACUAUAUGCCUCAGCUUAUGGCAUCCCACAACCUAAGCUACCAGUGUUUGAAAGUGGUAAUGAGAGUGACUUUGCACUGUUAAAAUUGGCAUUGGACAAUUUGUUAAGUAAUCACAGCUAUCUCAGUGAGCAAUACAAAUACCACGUCCUGUUAAGCCAUUUGAAGCUUCCCAGUGCUCAGCAGCUAGCUAAAGCCUACAUGUAUCAUUCGCAUCCAUACUCAGCUGCGCUGCAGGCACUUCAGGAUAAGUAUGGGCAGCCAAGACAACUUGUGCAGUCAGAGCUGGGUGCCAUUAUGAACAGUCCACCACUUAGACUGGGCGAUGCUAAUGCCUUUGACUCCUUUGCCUUGUCAGUGCAAUCAUUGGUAGGCAUGUUGAGGACUCUUGAAGGUCAGAAUGGUUUCGAGCUCAUGUGUGGCUCUCAUGUGGAUCAUCUGCUCAGCAAGUUGCCACCUGCCUAUCGUGAUAGCUUUGUUGAAUACUGCCUUUUAAAGGGUAUUCUCCAGACAGGCACAGACAAAACCUAUACACUCCCCGAUCUGGCUUCGUGGUUAGAGAUUAAGUCCCAGGCGAAACAUAUUUCCACCCGAGCUGCAGCCUUGUUUCAGAGCGACUCACCCAAGUCCUAUGGUAAACCUACAACAUCUACUCGUCCAAAGGAGCGAUUUACACCGGUUCUGUUGACCAGUGAGAGGGGCACGAAAGGUCCUGAUACUGCAGCACAGAAAUCUAGCUCAAAGCCGAAGCCCAGGCCAUAUUGUCCUCAUUGUGAUAGCAGGGAUCAUUACCUCAAUGCCUGUGACCAGUUUAAGAAACUAACUACAGCUCAAAUCAUCACUUGGAUUAAAGAGGGAAAACGUUGCUGGAGGUGUGGCCGAACUCAUGUAGUGAAGGUCUGCAACCUCAAGCGUACAUGUGGUGUUUGUAAAGAGUUACAUCUUACAGUUCUGCAUGAUUCUGUUGAUGAUACUUCCAGAGCUGUUCUCAUGGUCAGUUUGCCACCGACCAGGAUUUACCUUGAUCGUCCUAACCAUUCACCCAAAGUCAUGCUGAAAGUGGUUAAAGUCCUUCUACACAAUGGUCAGCAAACCAUGGAAACUCACGCAGUUCUUGAUGACGGGUCAGAGAGAACAUUAGUGCUUCAGCCAGAAGUGCAGCAGCUUAUCCCUCUGGAGUCUAAGGGUAUUUUGGGGCCUGGAGAAGUUUUGUCAUGCCCUGACAUUUGUGCUUUUUUCAGUUUCUUAUAAAUAACCAAAUGGCUAAAGUCUAAUCUCACUGUAAUCAGCACAAACUGG
ensembl:lncRNA